GCGGCUGCAGCUCAGUCAUGAGUCACUUUUCUUUUUCCCUCUGUUCUGUUCUAAUUGUCAUCCAUUCUCCUCCUGACUUACCUCCUUUCGAGUCAGGACAAAGCAGAACAGUUUCCCAAGUCCCCUGCCGGGUCACAAACUCUUGCUGCUGGGGCUUUCAAGCAAUGGGGUCAAGGUCAGACUUGGAUUCUAUUCUACAAUGACAUCUGAACAAGUCCUCAAAGGCCAAUCUGAGUCACAGGCAGUGAUGCAGAUGGUAUUGUACAUUGCCUAGCUGGCCAGUUUGGAUCUGUGGAUCACCCCACUGGAAGGUUGCCUUGAAUUCUGUGAACAGCAAUCCUUGGUAAACGUGUGCAUUCUGGAGACUCGCAUGUACGUUGGAUGAGCCAUCUCACGAUUGGUGAUUGAGAAGCAGAACAGUCCUACUUGAGUCCAUUUUUCUCUCAAACCUAAGCCAUGCUGUCAAACAGCUUAAACUCUGUUAUGAUUGCCAUCAACCUACCUGCUACAUCUAUCUCUCAAUUGCCUUCAAAUUUGAGCGGGGAAGAUAGGCAUUCUUUUCUUAAGCCUCCUCAGACUCUCUGUUAGGGUUCUUCAGAGGAACAGAACUGAUAAAAUAUAUGUAGUUAUAAGAGUGGAUUUGUUGGAUUCACUUACGUGAUCAGAGGCUGAGUAGUCCCCCAAUAGCCCUCUGCAGGCUGGAGAGCCAGGGAAACCCACUAGCAGCUCAGUCCAAGAAGCUGGGAGCCUCAGCACAAAAUGGGCCAAUAAGGCAGCCCCAGUCAGAAUGAUGGUCUGGAAAGCCCUUUGAAGAGAUAUUGGAGCAAAUCUGCCACUGAGAAAAUCUGUAUUCAAAGGCUAAAGAAUCUAACUUUGAUGUCCAUGGAUGAUGGCAGCAGGAAAAAAAAAUGCACCCACUCAAGAAAGUUCAAGCUCAGUUGCAUAAUUGAGCUUUCUUCUUCCACAUUUUCAUUCUGUCUGGACCUCCAACCUACUGGUCAAUGCCACCUGCAUAUAGGGCCAGUUUUCCCCACCAGUUUGAUGACCCACAUGCCAGUCUUCUCUGGAAACACUCUCACAGAUACACGCUGACAGAUGCUUCACUACUUUUCUAGGUAUUCCUCAAAUUUAGUCAAGCUGACAACCAAAAUUAGCCAUCACAAAUCCCAACACAUUUCUUUCAAUGUACUUUCUCUGAUUCUAUCACAUAGCAUUUAAGAUUUAAAAAAAUCAAUCAAUGCUGCCAGGACUGGGAAAGACUCAUAGGGCAGAUUUGUAUUUUAGAACCUUUGGAUUCUUUGCACCUGGUACAGGUACAGGCCCAGAAUGAAUGUGGAUCGGGUGGCAAGGGAAAACUGCUACAGCAACUCAAACUGUUUGCAAGUCAUCAAUCUUGCCUUGCUUUCUGAGCCACACUCUCAUGGAACUCAGAUUCUAGUGCCCUGGCUCAUCUUCACCUAUUUCCAUGCCUGCUCCAGCUUGGUUCAGUCUAAAUCCCUACUUGUUCCUGCAUGAGUAAUGGACAUUUAGCAAGUGUUACCUACUCACAAAGAACGCUUUCUACGAGAACAUCACAUAGUUAAAUUUGAUACGACAUUUUACUAUCUUUGUCAAAUUAUAUGCAGCACAUCUGUAAAUUUUUCUUCCAGUUGAAUUAAGUAAUUGGUCCUUGGCAUAAGCAAAUCAAAUCUAUACCUGAGCAUAAUAAAAUUUAUUUAACUUUAGUUGGAGUGCACAGCCAGAUAGUCACAUCAAAAAAAAUUUUUUUUGAUAAGUUUGAUCCAGCAAAAUCUCUCAAUUCCAGCACUUUUAUUAAUGUAACUGUCCUAGUUAACAUUAGCACACCUGGCUUUACUAUGAAUAUGGUAACAAGGCAAUAGAUUUCUCUUGACUUAACUCUUCCUUUUCCUUGUCUCUACACCCACCCUCUCUCUCUCUCACACACACACACACACUAUAGCUUUUAAUUGAACUCUGCAGCCUCUGUAUUUAGGAAAUGAUUUUGCCUUUUCCUGGAGCUUCUUCCCAGAAGUGUCCAUGAAGCCUAGGCUAGAAUACCACUGGAAUGGAGAGGCACUGUUCUCAAAGCAGCCUGUGCUACUUUCAGGCCUCACUAAAAGACACCAGGCAGGAAUUGGGUGAUACAAUCAAAUGGAUAAUUUGAGAAUAAUUUAAUAAGAGGCUAUUGUGAGGGUUCAUGUAGUGCCCCAGCACUAGCCAUCCCAGUAGCCUAUGGGCUGAAAGGAAGUGGGAAUUCACAGAAUUCAAAUAGAGCAGGAUGUGAUGCCAGCCCAUGGUAACGCCUUGGGAAGGAAGCUUAGCUAAUAAUUCCUGAACCCUAAUUUCCUCUUGCCCUCUUAAGCCUGUGGUGUAUCUCAUUGGCUAAAAGCAACCAAAAGUCGGGAUUUACAGAGAGACAAGAAAGGGCACAAAUUGUAAGAAGGUGCUUAGUGUGAGGUCUGUGCGACAGCAAGGUCAAGCCUGCAAGUAAAUGCCCCCUUCUGUGUCUAGGUGCCUCUCCUGCCUCAUUUAGUCCCAACCCUGGGUUAAGUGAGUCCAGUGAAGUGAUUCAUAUAAAUCAAUUCUGUUUGUUCUCCCAAGCAUGACAAAUAGAUUUGAAGGUGAACCGGAAGAUAUUGAGCACAAACUGUCAGGAAGUUCUCAUUGUCUUGUUAUAAAACUGUGGCUUCCACUAACCCCACUUGAUCCACUGUGCUUGAUCCAGAAACAAUACCUGACCCAGUUAGAUUUCCUUUAAGUAUAAUUUUCAAAAGUUGAGCUUGACUCUCAUAGAAAUAUAAACUGAACACUUCUAAGUUUUAUUCAACCCAUUAAUUAAUAGAGAUGCUAAACUAGUUUGAAAGAAAAUAUGAGGACAUUUAAAUAGUCAAGGAAGCCAAAAAAAAUGCUAAAGUUAAUAUGCUAAUGAAUGCGAAGCUGGUCAAUACUGUAAAGGUGAUAAAUUGAAAACUUUGGGGCUAUCUUUUCUGCUGGAAGGAAAUCAAUGCUAUCUCUACAGAUAAUUUCAUUUGCAUUGCUAAGGGCAGGUAAUCUUUGCAUUAUUAUUGGUUUUCUAUGAGUUAACCUCUUCUAAAUAGCCCUAGACUUAAUGAAUCCACCAGAUAUCCAUCAGAUAAUUCCCAGCAUUCUACUGCAAUGCAUUCAGUAAUCAUCUCUCCUAUCUCUAAGUGCUGGAUAAUGUUUUUAAACAUUUCUCUUCUCCUGGAAGCCAUUCAGAUGUUCAGUGACACCAGGAACAGUUCAUCUUUCUCUGGGAGUCAGGUGCCUAGAGUUGGACGCAGGUGUGGUGUGAAUAAAAGAGUGUCUUAUUUCAGGAACCCAAAAGGAAAACUAAAACCAGUCAUUAUUAAAGCCAAAGAGAUAAUAUUAAUUGUAAAUCCUAUUUACUGCUUAUUUUACUCUAAGGAACACCUUUAUUGUGGACGUUCUCCGCCCAGAAAAGACAUAGGGCUGUGCCUGUACAGCUUUAACAGUGAGACCACAAGAAAGAAAGAAAAGGACUCGUCAGACAAGUAGGGUGCAAUGGUAGACUCCAAGGUGGCCUUUAAUUUGUCAACAGGCCUAUAGAGAGACAAUAGUUUAUUUGAUCCAAAUACUUCACUUCCUGUGAACAAUAUGUCUAGAACCAAAAUAUGGGCUCUCCGUUUUGGAUAUGAAUUACCUAUUUAGUGGUUCCAAGUAAUUGGUCUUCAGAGGCAGUUUUCUUUCUUUCUCUUGCCUUUUCUCCUGGCAUCCUUAUAUUUUUUGCUUUUUUUUCCUCUUUUCUUUCAUUGUUUUGCUUGUGACCUUAGAGACAAUAAACGGUCUUGUAAAUCUUCCAGACUAGAGUUGUACAAUAGCUGUUUCUAUCAGCAAUGAUAGAACUAUCAGUAUCACUGCUAAGUAGAGUAGCUGCCAGCCACAUGUAACUCUGAAACACUUAGAAUGUUUCCAGGGCAGUCCUUUUAAAACUCAGCAUUAUUAAUACUUGGGGCUGGAUAAUUAUUUGUUGUUGAUGACAUUGCAAAGAAAACACAUCUGUCCUUCUGGGUAGGACCCAACACCAUCAUCCCAUUUGACUUUAGCCCUGUUCUCCCAGCCCUCAGCAAUCUUAUUUAACUCCUGUUGACUUCCCCUCAUAUAUUCAGUCCCUGUGGCCAUCUCAAACUCUCCCACUCUCAUCAAUCUCUUGACCUCAUCCUGCCCACCAGUUGCCAGAAGAGAAGCAAAACAGCACCAAUUGCAACUGUUGUAUGAGAUCACUUCCUCAUGUAAUUCUGGAGUUUACUUAAAAUUUCCCAUUCUCAUGAGGAUGAUAAAUAUUAGUGAAUUUCUUCAUUCUGUGAGAAAUUCAAACUGGGGUUACCUGUCUACCUAGAUCUAAGAGAGGAAGCUAAGUAAACAAAAACAAGAACAAAAACAAAAGAGCGCAAGCACGCGCGCACGCACACACACACACACACACAAUGAAUGAAGAUAUAAGAGUAUAAGAGGCCAGGGUUCAACAACCAGUUCUGUUAACUCAUGUUCAUUUGGUAAAGACCUUCAACCUCUUCAAACCUUAGGUUCCCCACCUGUAUAACAGGAAAAAAUGUUGAUUUUUUUUCCUAAGAUUUUGGAUGAUCUUUCUAGGUCUAGACUUUUAAGAUUAAACCCUUUUCUUCUUUGCUAUUAAAUUUUCAAUUUAAAAAAAUAUUUAUUGAGUGCUUACUAUGUGCCAUCACUGAGCUACCUGCUGGGAAUGUAACGGUGAAAAAACAGACUUGGCUUCUGCCCUCUGGUAGCUUUGUGGGAAAGCUGGCUACCUACCCAAUGCUUUACCUUGGGAAUGUUCAACUCUUGAGAGAACAAGUGGUCUAAGCAGAAGGUUGUAUUGCUCUAUUCCUGGGUUAACCCACAGGAUACUACGAAAGUGAGACUAGGCUUCCCCUCAGUUCACGAUUUCUUCCAUGCACCUUUAUUAACUGCGUAACAGCACUGGAGAUUCUAUGUAAAUGCUUCUACAAGGAACCCAGAACAGACAUCAGCCAAUCAGAACAAACUAUGACUAAAAUAUGUUGUCACUCUUAGACUUAUUCCUUUGGUUGCUGGUGUAUGAUGAGGUCUGGCAGAUUCCACAGAAGGGACCAGAGUGACCAUGGUAUUAGGUCAAUUCUUGGAGGACUUGGGGAAGUUACUUUUUUUCCCCCAGUUUUUAUAGAAAUAUUUCAAUAUUCUAGUUAUAGGGUGGCCAUACUGGUAUGCUAUUAUUGAAUACAAACCCUAAGUAGAAUUGAUGAGCUAAUGUGGACACCCAGCUAUAUUAUUUAUCAAUAGCAUUGAUCUUUCCAAGAUCACCAAAGUCUAUAAUACUUCUAACAUUUUUAGCAAUGUCUACUUGGACAAUCUUAAUUUUAAUUUCAAUCUUAAUUUUAUUUUGCUCAUUUGACUCUACCCAGGACUUCCUUCUCCUGAGCCAUUUCACAGUUCUUUUCUCUGAGUUCAAAGUAAAUUUAUCCAGGGUCUGAGCCUGUGGUGCAGUGGUGUAACACUUGCCUAGCAUGCACAAAGCCCUGGAUUC